UACGAAGGGGGCUAGCGUUGCUCGGAAUUACUGGGCGUAAAGGGAGCGUAGGCGGACAUUUAAGUCAGGGGUGAAAUCCCAGAGCUCAACUUUGGAACUGCCUUUGAUACUGGGUGUCUUGAGUGUGAGAGAGGUAUGUGGAACUCCGAGUGUAGAGGUGAAAUUCGUAGAUAUUCGGAAGAACACCAGUGGCGAAGGCGACAUACUGGCGCAUUACUGACGCUGAGGCUCGAAAGCGUGGGGAGCAAACAGG
rnacentral:rRNA from 1 species